rnacentral:rRNA from 1 species
UACGUAGGUGACCAGCGUUGUCCGGAUUUACUGGGCGUAAAGAGCGCGCAGGCGGUCGUUCAAGUCGAGCGUGAAAGCCCCCGGCUCAACUGGGGAGGGUCAUUCGAUACUGAUCGACUUGAAGGCAGGAGAGGGAAGUGGAAUUCCCGGUGUAGUGGUGAAAUGCGUAGAUAUCGGGAGGAACACCAGUGGCGAAGGCGACUUCCUGGCCUGUUCUUGACGCUGAGGCGCGAAAGCUAGGGGAGCAAACGGGG